GGCCUGGUGGUGUAGUGGUUACACGUCCCAUCCAAUUUGGACAAAUCGCUGAUUCAUGGGAAGUCCCUUGUUCGAAUCAAGGUCAGGCCA